rnacentral:rRNA from 1 species
GGUCUUGACAUCCCAGAAAUACCCUUGGAAACUUGGGAGUGCUUCCAUUUAGGAAGAAUCUGGAGACAGGUGCUGCAUGGCUGUCGUCAGCUCGUGUCGUGAGAUGUUGGGUUAAGUCCCGCAACGAGCGCAACCCUUGCCUUUAGUUGCCAGCAGUUCGGCUGGGCACUCUAAAGGGACUGCCGGUGUUAAACCGGAGGAAGUGGGGAUGACGUCAAGUCCUCAUGGCCUUUAUGACCAGGGCUACACACGUACUACAAUGGCCGAUACAAAGGGCAGCGACAUCGCGAGGUGAAGCCAAUCCCAUAAAAAUCGGUCUCAGUCCGGAUUGGAGUCUGCAACUCGACUCCAUGAAGUUGGAAUCGCUAGUAAUCGUGGAUCAGCAUGCCACGGUGAAUACGUUCCCGGGCCUU